rnacentral:rRNA from 1 species
AUUGAACGCUGGCGGCAUGCCUUACACAUGCAAGUCGAACGGUAACGGGCCUUCGGGUGCCGCCGAGUGGCGAACGGGGGAGUAAUACAUCGGAACGUGCCCGAUCGUGGGGGAUAACGAGGCGAAAGCUUUGCUAAUACCGCAUACGAUCUACGGAUGAAAGCAGGGGACCGCAAGGCCUUGCGCGGACGGAGCGGCCGAUGGCAGAUUAGGUAGUUGGUGGGAUAAAAGCUUACCAAGCCGACGAUCUGUAGCUGGUCUGAGAGGAUGAUCAGCCACACUGGGACUGAGACACGGCCCAGACUCCUACGGGAGGCAGCAGUGGGGAAUUUUGGACAAUGGGCGCAAGCCUGAUCCAGCCAUGCCGCGUGCAGGAUGAAGGCCUUCGGGUUGUAAACUGCUUUUGUACGGAACGAAAAGCCUUCUUUUAAUACAGGAGGGUCAUGACGGUACCGUAAGAAUAAGCACCGGCUAACUACGUG